rnacentral:ncRNA from 1 species
CGUCUUCGGGGCAGGGUGAAAUUCCCGACCGGCGGUAAAGUCCGCGAGCCGCUUCGGCGGCAUGAACCGGUGUGAUUCCGGUACCGACUGUAGAGUCAGGAUGGAAGAAGAC